rnacentral:rRNA from 1 species
CCUACGGUGUGCAGCAGUAGGGAAUCUUUCACAAUGGGCGAAAGCCUGAUGGAGCAACGCCGCGUGCAGGAUGAAGGCCUUCGGGUUGUAAACUGCUUUUAUAAGCGAGAAAUAUGAUGGUAACUUAUGAAUAAGGAUCGGCUAACUACGUGCCAGCAGCCGCGGUAAUACGGAGGAUGCGAGCGUUAUCCGGAUUUAUUGGGUUUAAAGGGUGCGUAGGCGGGCUUUUAAGUCAGCGGUAAAAAUUCGGGGCUCAACCCCGUCCGGCCGUUGAAACUGGGGGCCUUGAGUGGGCGAGAAGAAGGCGGAAGGCGUGGUGUAGCGGUGAAAUGCAUAGAUAUCACGCAGAACCCCGAUUGCGAAGGCAGCCUUCCGGCGCCCUACUGACGCUGAGGCACGAAAGUGCGGGGAUCGAACAGGAUUAGAUACCCUUGUAGUC